CCUCCAUUUUCACUACACGACUUAGGUUAAUUUGCAAAACAUCCCUCCCAUUCCGAUUUCCAUUUCCCAGCCUUUUGUUUCUCACACAAUCUUCCUUCUCAGUGUUUCUUACCCCAACACCGCCCACCCGCAUUUCUUCCUCCAACACCGGUCACCCCAAAAGCAACACCGCCCACCCUCGUUUCUUCCUCCAACAUCGGCCACCCCAAAAGCAACACCGCUCGAAGUCUCCCCCGUGUUUCUCUAACUCUCCUACUUCUGGAAGCAGCCCUGCAACCGCCUCAUCUCCUCUCCUCUUCUGUGCGAACUGCCACCGUCGCCUCCCACAGGCCACCGCUAGGUUAUUUCUGCAAUUUUGUUAUAUCUCACCAUUUUUGUUAAUUUUGUGCUUUAAAUUUGAUAAUUAUCCCUCAAAAGAAUCAAUUAGGGAUUUAACAGCCAAUUAAUUUUGUUAAUAAUUUUGCAAUUUUGGUUUUAUUUUUCUGGUUUGGCCCGUGACUUGUGAUUUGAAGGCCCGUGACUUGUGACAUGGGACUCCUCUGGUUGUAUACAUUCAUUAUUUUGCGCAGAUUAUUCAGCUACUUUCGUUGAGGGAUGUUACUGAGGAGGAGUGGCGCAAUUGGUUUAUUGAGGAGGGCCUUCAGAAGAUUAGAAGUAUCAGGCAUAUUAUGCAGAUAGAUCACCAAUGUGGCUGGUGAUUAAGGCUACAGGAGCACAUGGGCGAGGGGCGAGGUUGUAUGACAAUACUGCAAUGGAGAACUUGACGAAGAGUAUUGAAAGAUUUAGUUUUUUGUGUUAUAAGUGAGUGUGUAGCUCGUUUAUAUGUGUCAUUCUUACUGAUGGUUGUUGAUCAGGGUUCCUUGGCUUGUUUUCUUUGACUUGCAGUCAAAUUGUCAUGAGGGAUUUUCUAUGUUCUUGCUUUUUGGCGCUACUGGUUCACUGUACUGCUGGUUUUCAGGUUUGGGUUGGUCUACAGUUAGUUGGGAUUGGUUCGAUACUGCUGUUGGUUGGUUGUUACACUGUUUGGUGGUAUUAUUCGUGUUGUUAUGGUGCAAAUUGUUGUGAUUAGUUUGGUGUCUUCUAGUCUGUUCUGCAGACUUGUGUGGUGUGUUUAUAGGCUAGCUUCAAUCUACUGCACUAUUUGAUAAUUCGGAAUUAAUUAAAUGAGCAAUGCAAUAUAGUUGGAUCCUCGUGUAUCCUUAUUUUCAUUCCUCUCUUGUAUUUUCCACUAUCCUUGUAUAUCCUGAUUUUCUAUGCUUCGAUGAUAACAAUGUCGCACACUUAUGUUCCUUAGAACUGUUUGUUUGGUUCGGUUCUAGGUAAUCUUUCAUGGGCGGUUUAAGAAGCAUGUUGCUGACAGAGAGUUCUAAGGAACAUAAGUGUGUGAGAUUUCGACAUUGUAGCCAACUCUUCUGGCAUGCAUCUUAAUGGGGUUCAGAAAAGCAGAGCUGAUAUGAUUAUUUUGUAACUGCUCCCUGGGAUUUUUGGAUUGAGAGAAGAUAUUUGCAAAAAGCAGAGUUGUCGUUAAGAAGGAGGUCAGCUGAAAGAGAUGCGGAUAAUUUUGAAGAGAUUGAAAUGACAGUAUAUGAUUAUUUUGCUGAUCAUCGAAACAUAAAGCUUCGAUACUCAGGAGACCUGCCUUGUGUUAAUGUGGGUAGACCAAAGAGGCCGAAUUACAUACCAAUCGAGGCAAUAAAGCUGUAGCAGUUUGUUUUGUGGUCUUAUCACUCUGAAACUCUAAAAUUCCUACCUGAAAUUCCUAUAUAUAAAGCAUUUUGAGCCGGUAACUGUUGUAAACUACCUGAAAUUCCUAUCUGCAAAGCAUUUCAACACAUCUCUGUAAACUACUCUUUCUUUGCUUCAAUGAAAUCCCUUCUAGAUGGAUGUGGUCUUUCCAAUGCUGCUGAAAUGGUGAUCACUAAUUUACACAGUUUGUUAUCUUUUUGAAAUCUUGUAGCAAGACAAGGAGAAGUUCGAGGAUCAGUUGCAUGAUAUGGCAGUAAUGCUUAAGAGAUUAGAAGAGGGGAGGAAGAAGCUUCUGCUAGAGAGAUAGAGAAGCUCUUCGGGGAAAAUUCAAAUCUGACAUCUGCUUAUCAGGAGGCUGUGGGUGUGGCCUUACACGGGAGACUAAGGUAUUCAUGAACAAACCAAUGGAUCAAUAUUCCUUCACGAUUGAUGAAAUCAAAUGUGUUUGAGACAAGUUGGCACGAUGUAUUACUAAUGAAUGUCUUUGGUUGAUCGCGUUUUUAGCAUUGUAAUGAUCUUUUAAUACAGAAGUUAGCUACUUUUUUCCAUUUAUCAAUUUAUAUACAAUUUGUUUUAAA